UACGGAGGGUGCGAGCGUUGUCCGGAAUCAUUGGGCGUAAAGGGCGCGUAGGUGGCGGGACAAGCGUGCGGUGAAAGCUCGGGGCUCAACCCCGCGUCGGCCGUGCGAACUGUUUUGCUUGAGCACUGUAGAGGCAGGCGGAAUUCCGGGUGUAGCGGUGGAAUGCGUAGAGAUCCGGAAGAACACCGGUGGCGAAGGCGGCCUGCUGGGCAGUAGCUGACGCUGAGGCGCGAAAGCUAGGGGAGCAAACGGG
rnacentral:rRNA from 1 species